GCUCUGGGGCCUAGGACCUUUGUGGUAGCAGAGUCACUGCAGAGAACCAGACAAUACCAGGUUGCUUAUAAAAGGAUGCCAUGUGCUUGCUGGAGGUCCCAGGUGCAACCAAAUUGCUUGCAGCUAGGAGGACCUUGAAGAGAAAUGGGAUCAGCCCGCCAAACCAAGAAGGGUUAGCACUUUUGCUAGGAGAGCUGACCACGCACAAACAGAUGAGAACCAAAACCGAGUGAAGAGGAUUGAAGAUGAACCCACAUUUUAAAAGUUCUUGUCUGCUGGAGGUGGCAUUACCUGUGACCUCGCUUCACUUCUCCAUACAUGGCUGUUAUAGCAGAAAAUCCAGCUUUCUGAAGCAUAUUUCACGACAUAUGAUGAGACUUAUGUGAUGUGAGACCUGAGAAAACUAUGAUAGAAAGAAGCAACUCAAGUUGCAAGGAUAUUCCUCAUGUAUCAUGCAAGGAUAUUCCUCAUAUAUCAUGCUUUUUCUAUCUUCUGCUCUUUGCCACCUGUGAGGUCCCUGAAAAUGAAGGCCAAUACUACCCAGGUAAGCAAAUACCCAAAAGGCCAAAAAGACUGGGUAAUCUGGUGUUCCCGUUAAUUCUCUCUAUUAGAGUUUUAAUCUGAGACUUUCUCUUUUGUGAAUUCUUUGACACUUUUAAGGAGAAUUUUGUAUUUCGUCCUAUAUAUUUUGUUUCCAUUGGAGAGAUAUGGAGGAGAAAUGGUCCAAAUAUUAUAGCCAACCAUAAACAAAAACUGAAUUACUCCUAAAUCUAUUUAACAAGUUGAAAUAUGACUAAGCUGUUCAGUAAUAUUUGUCAUUUAUUUCAAUGAAUAUUUUCCUUAACUUUCUGAGGAAACUAAGUAACUAAUUUCAAAUGAGAAGAAAUACAAUGACAACAAACAAAAAUAAAGUGAAAUAAAUUAA
ensembl:lncRNA FIRRE firre intergenic repeating RNA element